UUACGACCAUAUCACGUUGGAACAGCGAUUCUCGUUCGAUCACAGAAGUUAAGCAACGUCUAUCCCGGUCAGUACCUAGAUGGGUGACCGCUUGAGAAUACCUGGGACUGUAAG